rfam:TPA: Bos taurus chromosome 5, whole genome shotgun sequence.
UCCCUGGUGGUUCAGUCGGUAAAGAAUCUGCCUGUAAUGCAGGAGACCCAGGUUUGAUCCCUGGGUUGGGAA